rnacentral:misc_RNA from 1 species
GAUGAAGAACGUAGCGAACUGCGAUAAGUAAUGUGAAUUGCAGAAUUCAGUGAACCAUCGAAUCUUUGAACGCACAUUGCGCCCGGCAGUAAUCUGCCGGGCAUGCCUGUCCGAGCGUCAUUUCUGCCCUCGAGCGAGUCCAGCAUCUAGGUGCUGGGCCCGCCCGGCGUUGGGGCACUACGGGAAGCCCUGUGCUGUCCCCCGUAGGCCCCGAAAUGAAGUGGCGGUCCUGCCGCGGCGCCCCCUGCGUAGUAUAACAGCUCGCUUCGGGACCCGGUGGAGGCCUGCCGUCAAACCUUACUCUCUAAGUUUGACCUCGGAUCAGGUAGGGUUACCCGCUGAACUUAAGCAUAUCAAUAAGCGGAGGA